GACGAACGCUGGCGGCGUGCUUAACACAUGCAAGUCGAACGAAGUGGCGAACGGGUGAGUAACGCGUAAUCCACCUGCCCUUCAGAGGGGGAUAACAGUUGGAAACGACUGCUAAUACCGCAUACUGAAGGAGGGGCUUGCGUCCGCUUAGCUAGUUGGAGGGGUAACGGACCACCAAGGCGAGGAUCAGUAGGCGGACGGAGGGGAUGAACGGCAAACAUGGGAAUGAGACACGGCCCAGAAUCCUACGGGAGGCAGCAGUGGGGAAUCUUCCGCAAUGGACGAAAGUCUGACGGAGCAACUCCGCGGGAGUGAUGACGGCCUUCGGGUUGUAAAGCUCUGUUAAUCGGGACGCGGUACCGGAAUAGAAAGCCACGGCUAACUACGUGCCAGCAGCCGCGGUAAUUC
rnacentral:rRNA from 1 species